rnacentral:lncRNA from 7 species
CUCAAUUGCCGAAUUAAAUUUUAUUGAGGUACGUUAAUUAAUCGCGUGUUGCGGAAGACGAGCCAAGUCGACCCCAAGCGCGGGCUAAUCCGCAGGAUAAUGCUGAUGGAUUAACCUGAAGAUGGAUAAUCGGAACAAUGUGAAGACAAAGGAUGAUCGUCAAGUGGACAUCGCCUAACAAACACUAACCUAGUGUUACCCAGGUCAUAGCUUUGUGCUGCUGACAAUGGUGUUAAGUGCCGGUGGGCUCGGCCUUCUUAUAUAAGUAUACCCUGCCUUUAUCUUCUUACUGAGGAUGGUCACUUGAGCUAGCAUAUAUUUCAAACUCAUACUUUGGUAAUCACUCCGAUAAAAUAAUGUAAAUUUUUUGUAACCUGUAAAAUUUGGUAAUAAGAUUUCCGCUG